GCCUCGGUGGUGGAAUUGGUAGACACCAGGGACUUAAAAUCCCUUGGACCUUGCGUCCGUGCGAGUUCGAGUCUCGCCCGAGGCACCA
rnacentral:tRNA from 1 species